rnacentral:rRNA from 1 species
CCAAGGAAGGCAGCAGGCGCGCAAAUUACCCACUCCCGGCACGGGGAGGUAGUGACGAAAAAUAACGAUACGGGACUCAUCCGAGGCCCCGUAAUCGGAAUGAGUACACUCUAAACCUUUUAACAAGGAUCAAUUGGAGGGCAAGUCUGGUGCCAGCAGCCGCGGUAAUUCCAGCUCCAAUAGCGUAUAUUAAAGUUGUUGCGGUUAAAAAGCUCGUAGUCGAAUUUGUGUCCCGCGCCGCCGGUUCAUCGCUCGCGGUGUCAACUGGCGUGUCCGCGGGACGUCCUGCCGGUGGGCUUAGCCUCUCGGGGCGGCCCAAUUUCAAUCCCACCGCGGUGCUCUUCAUUGAGUGUCGAGGUGGGCCGGCACGUUUACUUUGAACAAAUUAGAGUGCUUAAAGCAGGCUAAAACUUCGCCUGAAUACUGUGUGCAUGGAAUAAUGGAAUAGGACCUCGGUUCUAUUUUGUUGGUUUUCGGAACCCCGAGGUAAUGAUUAAUAGGAACGGAUGGGGGCAUUCGUAUUGCGACGUUAGAGGUGAAAUUCUUGGAUCGUCGCAAGACGGACAGAAGCGAAAGCAUUUGCCAAAAACGUUUUCAUUGAUCAAGAACGAAAGUUAGAGGUUCGAAGGCGAUCAGAUACCGCCCUAGUUCUAACCAUAAACGAUGCCAGCUAGCGAUCCGCCGACGUUCCUCCGAUGACUCGGCGGGCAGCUUCCGGGAAACCAAAGCUUUUGGGUUCCGGGGGAAGUAUGGUUGCAAAGCUGAAACUUAAAGGAAUUGACGGAAGGGCACCACCAGGAGUGGAGCCUGCGGCUUAAUUUGACUCAACACGGGAAACCUCACCAGGCCCGGACACCGGAAGGAUUGACAGAUUGAGAGCUCUUUCUUGAUUCGGUGGGUGGUGGUGCAUGGCCGUUCUUAGUUGGUGGAGCGAUUUGUCUGGUUAAUUCCGUUAACGAGCGAGACUCUAGCCUGCUAACUAGGCGUAUUUUCGACAUCUCAAAGGUCCGCCGGCCCGGCGCUCGCGUCGCGGUCGCGCGCGAUUUUUACUGUCGGCGUACAAUUAAUUCUUCUUAGAGGGACAGGCGGCUUCUAGCCGCACGAGAUUGAGCAAUAACAGGUCUGUAAUGCCCUUAGAUGUUCUGGGCCGCACGCGCGCUACACUGAAGGAAUCAGCGUGUCUUCCCUGGCCGAGCGGCCCGGGUAACCCGCUGAACCUCCUUCGUGCUAGGGAUUGGGGCUUGCAAUUGUUCCCCAUGAACGAGGAAUUCCCAGUAAGCGCGAGUCAUAAGCUCGCGUUGAUUACGUCCCUGCCCUUUGUACACACCGCCCGUCGCUACUACCGAUUGAAUGAUUUAGUGAGGUCUUCGGACCGGUGCGCGGUGGCGUUUCGACGUCGCCGAUGAUGCUGGGAAGAUGACCAAACUUGAUCAUUUAGAGGAAGUAAAA